rnacentral:rRNA from 1 species
CAUGAAGCCGGAAUCGCUAGUAAUCGCGGAUCAGAAUGCCGCGGUGAAUACGUUCCCGGGUCUUGUACACACCGCCCGUCACACCAUGGGAGCCGGAAAUGCCCGAAGUCUGUGACCCAACCGCAAGGAGGGAGCAGCCGAAGGCAGGUCGGAUGACUGGGGUGAAGUCGUAACAAGGUAUC